rnacentral:rRNA from 1 species
UACGUAGGGUGCGAGCGUUGUCCGGAAUUAUUGGGCGUAAAGAGCUCGUAGGCGGUCUGUCGCGUCGAUCGUGAAAACUUGGGGCUUAACCCUGAGCUUGCGGUUGAUACGGGCAUGACUGGAGUUCGGCAGGGGAGACUGGAAUUCCUGGUGUAGCGGUGAAAUGCGCAGAUAUCAGGAGGAACACCGGUGGCGAAGGCGGGUUGCUGGGCCGACACUGACGCUGAGGCGCGAAAGCUAGGGGAGCGAACGGG